CAUACUGCAGGAAUCUGAACACAGCAAACUGGAAUUGUUUUUGUAUUCAUUUUAAAAAGAACGUUGUUAUCAUAUAAAUACAUUCAAGAAAGCAGAGCACAAGUUACAUCUGCUGAAAAUUUAUUCAGGACUGAUCUUGAUAUAUUAAAUAUAGAUUCAGCUAACAUGAAUAACUGGCUCAUAAGAGAAGACAUCUCCUUAAUCCAUGUUCACUCUGCCAUCUGAGCAAUUAUAAAAAGGAAACGUAUAUUAAAACUGCAGUUCUGAAACAGUGACAAAUCACAUGAAACUUGGAAUAAAAGUACAUCUGUGCUGCUUCUGCAAAUCCAAUUAUUUUUAAAAUCAGCGUAUCCUUAUUUUAUUUUAAAAAUCAAUAGAAUCAGCUACUUUAUUAGGCUUAUUAAAGUCAGACCUUUGACUUUCUUUGUUACUUGUUAUAUCACUGAGAAAUCACUCUGUUCAGCUACUUAGUUUUCAGACUUUAUGUGUAUGUACAGGCAAGUGUUACUGUUAGUUAUAGGUAUUUGUUUUACCAAAUUAAAGUAAAAAGUUGCACAUGUGUGCUCUUGUGCUAGUUUUCUUUUAAAGUAUCGCCAUUAAAAAACAAACAAACAAAAAAAACACUACUGCUGUAUGAAGCAUAUGUCAAAUAUUCACACUAACUAUAUAAAAACUGAUCAAAGACAUUAGAAAACAAAUUUUGUCUAACAAAAAAUAACCAGUUACUGAACAAAAUAAUUAGUAUAAUUUCACGCACAAUCUAUUUUUAGUAUUCUCUCUAAAUGUUUUAUUACUCAAAUUAAAUACUAUGGAGUUUGCAAAAGCACAAAGUCAAUCAAAAAAGAAGUCAUUUAGGAAUUCCAGUAGAGCUGAACUAGCAAGCCCAGUGUACUUCAUAUCUCUUUGGAUUUAUUUAAUGAUAAAAAUUGCAAGCAUAAUUACUAGAGGAUAAGGAUUAUUUUAUAAAUGAAUAAUAUGUAAUAAAUUGAGAAAAUCUUAAACAAAUAUGACAAUCAUAUAUUAUUACGUAUCCAUUAUCAAUUAUAAAUAACCCCAAAGUCUUGGUUAUUGUAGCCAAAUAAAGUACUAACACAUUCACUUAAUUAAAUAUACUUCUAAAUACCUAACCUUUGCAGAAUAUAUAGGAUGAUACUACUUGUAUCUAUUUUUAGCUACACAGCUAAAUCGAGGCUUUGACAUAUUCUAACAUUGCUAGACAUAACGUAUCAAAUAUCAAAGUUGUUUAAAUUAUUUAAGAUGAUUAAUGAUUUUUUCACAGGACAUGAGUUUCUCUUACUGUAUUAUUAAUUCAAGUGCUACUGUGACAGGUACAACACCUCACAGAUAGGUCUAGUGCCCUUGCCUGAUCCACCAGUUCAGAUUUGGCAGCUGUAAAUCUUUGUGGGAUGCUCUACCUGAAGCACAGGAUCAGAAAAAGACAAAUGGGCAGCAGCUGUUUUUAGGAAGUCUGGUCAGGGUAGAGCAAGCAAGGGAUAGUGGAAACUGAGCAUUAACCAUCUGUUUAUUGUUGUAGAUAUUAUCUCAGACUGUUUGCCAAAUAAAUGACUUUUUUUUUUCAGGGGGAAGAGCAGCAGGAACUUCAGGUUAUGUGCAGACACCAGACUGUUCAAAAUUGAAAAAUACCAGUUACAGGCCACCUGGAAGCUUGGAUGUACAAAACCAAGUACAUCUGCAACAACAGGCUCACUGAUAGGCACUCUUUUGUGCUUUAAGGUUUACAGUGACACUUUCAAGUUGCUAUUGCACCCUUCCUUCAAAGUUGCUAUUGCACCUCACCAGCACUUGUGUACAUCUGAAAGGAUGUGUCAGGAGUGUUCCCAGCCCUGUGUAUCUUCCUGCAAUUGGAUGUGGCAUUAAAAAGCGUUUUGUCCUUAAAUGAAUUCCGGCCAGCUUCUGUUUGCUAAACAGCUCCACCCGCUGAAGCUCUCACUUACUAACAGAACAGUUGUCCUAGCUAGACUGCAGAUCCCCACGUCUCCCAGCCUCAACCUGGUAAGCCUGUAACCUUUAAUCAUCUUAAAUUAAAGUAAGGUAAGCCCUAACAACAACAUUUUGGUGAUUUAUCCCAAUAAUUGUGGGAUGCUAGGCAAUUUAAGAACAUUUUUCUAUCUUUUCUAAGACUAGAAAUACAUGAAUACUUACACAAGUACCUUUUGCUGUGGCAAUGCCAUUUGUAGCACUUAUUGUCCUAAGCAGUAACCAAAUGAAUUAAUAAAGAGGCUUACUUUUAAAUGUAUCUGCAAGAACGCUACAGAGCUGAAACACAUUCUGCUGAAGAAAUGCAGCAAGAGGAAGGAUUGACUGCCCUUGCUGCUUGAAAGAAACAAGACUAACAGGUGGAAGAGGAGCCAGAUCCUCCAGGAGAAAGAACAGACACAAACAUUUCAUUCUUUCAAGUGAGAGUCCCACAAUUAUGUUAAAUUAGGUAAAACUGAUUAAAAGGGAAAAGGAAUCUGAUAGAAUUUCUCCCUUAUCUAAGUGAUGCUGAAUGCUUUGCUCAUACAACACAGAGCAUACAGGAACAGAGUGAGCUAAAACAAAGAAAACAACCUGGAAUAAAAUUCUGCCUCAGUGUGUAGCCACACUCGUUACUGAAGACCUGUGCAGGGAUCCAUGGCCCACAGAGCAAUUCCAUUAGUUCUAAAUCUAGCAGCAAUAUAACCAUACCUGUGAAGCAUCAAGCUGACACUAAAAGACCCCCUCUCUGCCCUCACAAAUUGAGAAUAUUUGGUCAGACAUUCAAAAGUCAUGGUGUAUGCCUUAGUUUUACCACUGAGGUGGAGAAAUGUGUGAAAGGAAUGGUCCUUUACCAAAAGACAGAAAAAAA